AUGAACGCUGGCGGCGUGCCUAAUACAUGCAAGUCGCGCGAACGGACGAGAAGCUUGCUUCUCUGAUGUUAGCGGCGGACGGGUGAGUAACCCGUGGAUAACCUACCUAUAAGACUGGGAUAACUUCGGGAAACCGUAGCUAAUACCGGAUAAUAUUUUGAACCGCAUGGUUCAAAAGUGAAAGACGGUCUUGCUGUCACUUAUAGAUGGAUCCGCGCUGCAUUAGCUAGUUGGUAAGGUAACGGCUUACCAAGGCAACGAUGCAUAGCCGACCUGAGAGGGUGAUCGGCCACACUGGAACUGAGACACGGUCCAGACUCCUACGGGAGGCAGCAGUAGGGAAUCUUCCGCAAUGGGCGAAAGCCUGACGGAGCAACGCCGCGUGAGUGAUGAAGGUCUUCGGAUCGUAAAACUCUGUUAUUAGGGAAGAACAUAUGUGUAAGUAACUGUGCACAUCUUGACGGUACCUAAUCAGAAAGCCACGGCUAACUACGUG
rnacentral:rRNA from 1 species